AUUGAACGCUGGCGGCAUGCCUUACACAUGCAAGUCGAACGGCAGCACGGGUGCUUGCACCUGGUGGCGAGUGGCGAACGGGUGAGUAAUACAUCGGAACAUGUCCUGUAGUGGGGGAUAGCCCGGCGAAAGCCGGAUUAAUACCGCAUACGAUCUACGGAUGAAAGCGGGGGACCUUCGGGCCUCGCGCUAUAGGGUUGGCCGAUGGCUGAUUAGCUAGUUGAUGGGGUAAAGGCCUACCAAGGCGACGAUCAGUAGCUGGUCUGAGAGGACGACCAGCCACACUGGGACUGAGACACGGCCCAGACUCCUACGGGAGGCAGCAGUGGGGAAUUUUGGACAAUGGGCGAAAGCCUGAUCCAGCAAUGCCGCGUGUGUGAAGAAGGCCUUCGGGUUGUAAAGCACUUUUGUCCGGAAAGAAAUCCUUGGCUCUAAUACAGUCGGGGGAUGACGGUACCGGAAGAAUAAGCACCGGCUAACUACGUG
rnacentral:rRNA from 1 species